CCCCUUGUGGCUCAGCGGAAAGAGCGGCCCGCUUCUAACGGGAUGGUCGCAGGUUCGAAUCCUGCCGAGGGGA
rnacentral:tRNA from 1 species